GACGAACGCUGGCGGCGUGCUUAACACAUGCAAGUCGAACGAUGAACCCGGAGCUUGCUCCGGUGGAUUAGUGGCGAACGGGUGAGUAACACGUGAGUAACCUGCCCUUGACUCUGGGAUAACUGCGGGAAACUGUAGCUAAUACCGGAUACGACCCUCGGCGGCAUCGCCAGGGGGUGGAAAGAAUUUCGGGCAAGGAUGGACUCGCGGCCUAUCAGCUAGGCGGUGAGGUAACGGAUCACCAAGGCGACGACGGGUAGCCGGCCUGAGAGGGUGACCGGCCACACUGGGACUGAGACACGGCCCAGACUCCUACGGGAGGCAGCAGUGGGGAAUAUUGCACAAUGGGCGCAAGCCUGAUGCAGCAACGCCGCGUGAGGGAUGACGGCCUUCGGGUUGUAAACCUCUUUUGGAAGGGACGAAGUAAUUGACGGUACCUUCAGAAUAAGGGGCUCCUAACUCUGUGCCAGCCGCCGCCGUAA
rnacentral:rRNA from 1 species